GCACCUGUAGCUCAACGGAUAGAGCAAAUCACUUCUAAUGAUUAGGUUGUGGGUUCGAUUCCCGCCAGGUGCG
rnacentral:tRNA from 1 species